rnacentral:misc_RNA from 1 species
AAGCGGCCGUAGCUGCCGUGCGUUGUAGGCGCUGCUCCGCUGGCCUGCUAGCAGCAGCAGCAGCAGCAGCAGCAGCAGGCGCUGGUGUGGCGUUUGCUCCGUCCGAUGCGAGCAACGUCCGCCGGCUUACAGUUCCAGGUCUGAAGAGCGCAGGCGGCGGCUCGUUCCGCCCGGCGGGAAGCGAGUCGAUCGUCGCCGUCACCGGCUCGAUCGGGCAGCAGCAGCGGUUUUCACUUGCUGCUCGCCGCCUGCGCGCAGUCACCGGUACCUGUUCCGUUGUGGCCUCCGUGGCUGCGGCAGUUUGGAUCUGGCUGUCGUUAGCGCCGCCGGUUGCAGUCGACCGUGCCGCCGCGCCAGUAGUCGCAGUGGCGCUGAAGAAGCGGCGGCUAGCGUCGACGAGGUUCAAAGAACAGCCGUUCGACCUCGAGCAUCGAGGACGGCUCGUCGCCGGUUGGAAAAAGAAAAAGCAGCUUCACCAGUGCACAAGGCGUCGUUCUACUACGCAUGCCGACGUGCCUUCGACACGCAGACACUGCUGUCGGCGCAAUGAGCGCUAGUAGCAUUCGAACUGCUGCUGUACGCGCAGGAAAGUA